UACAAAUAAAAAAAAAAACCACAAAUUAAAUCAAAAUAAUUUCACAUGAAAUUCACGCUGAAAUCUUCGAACAACAACUGUAUUGUCUUCCUCUUUGAUUUAGUUCCUCCAAAAGAACCAGAGAAAUACAGGUAUAUGUGCUGUUGGUUCAGUUUCCUUCCGUCCAACUCGGCAACGACAAUGUUAUUCAAUCACAACUCGAUGUUAGCUCCUUGUGGCUCGCCAGUCCCAACUCCCUCCACGAAUGCAGGAAUUUGAACGAAUACUAGAAGUCCAAGAACUACACUCCGGUAAACGUCGCUUCAAUGUAACGUCAGCUCAUCAGCACACAGCAUUCACCAGGCAGGAAGAUGAUGAAACCAAAUCCAAACAAAUAAUAAACAGGAAAAAACCUGACCUUGAAUACAAGGUCACAAAACCAUCAUUAGUAAUGUUUUCGUGAUACACAUGCAUCACAUCAAUUACCGCAGUUCAACUCAAUAUCAAAAUGGCCAUUAUAUUUUACAUACGAACAUGUAAGCAUGCGUUCAUCUCAUGUGGCCUCACAUCCUACAUUCACAAUUAAUAAAGGAAACUUAUAUACAACUCUCUUUCAUUUUACAUUUCAGUUAUAUGAACAUUCUACAACAGAUUAGUACAUGAAAUAACAGUUUUAACUCACCAAGGCCACUGAUGAACUUGACCGUUUUAAUCCCUGUAACUCCAAAGGAACUCCAUUUCCACUUGGUCUUUUGCUCAAACAUCUCAUAAAAAUUAAAUUCUCACUAUAAACUCUUUAUUGUCUUCAUAAAACAACUUUUAAUGCAUUAGUAACGCGUUAUGCGUUAACGAGGCUUCUUCUCAGCAGCCGCGUAAUUCUUAGCAACUAAAUAAACAGUCUCUUUUCACACUAAAUAUUCCAUUUUCACAUGUAAAAUUGUGUCUAAAUAAAUCUCACUUCAAUAUUUACCUAAUAUGCUAUUUGACUAAUCAAAUUCUCACAUUUCUUCAGAGUGGAAUGAAAGUGGAGAGAAAAAAAACUCAACCGCAUGCGAAUUCCAGAAAAUGAAAAUGCGCUAAACAACAUUCUCAAUUAUCAUUGGUCAGUUCUCCCAGUUUUAGUGUACACCUUGUGCGCAACAAUGAUCUGGCAGUUCACAGAAACUCGCCGUUGCAACUUCCCAGGAUUCACUCUCAGGGUGGGUCAGCGGCUAGAGCAAGAUUGGCUGUUUGGAUAAAUCACAUUUGCAGCACUGAUCCAGACUCUAAUUGGUCAAGUUUAUCUGCAAUAUGUUUUUACAUAUAUUUGCAAGUAUUAAUA